rnacentral:rRNA from 1 species
UACGUAGGGGGCGAGCGUUGUCCGGAUUUACUGGGCGUAAAGCGCGCGUAGGCGGAACUUCAAGUCCGGUCUGAAAGCCCCCGGCUCAACCGGGGAGGGUGGCUGGAAACUGGGGUUCUUGAGGGCGAGAGAGGAGGGUGGAAUUCCUGGUGUAGCGGUGAAAUGCGUAGAGAUCAGGAGGAACACCCGGGGCGAAGGCGGCUCUCUGGGACGGUACUGACGCUGAGACGCGAAAGCGUGGGGAGCGAACAGG